UGAAAUUCAACUUAGUCUGAUAAUUUAAAUAAUUAUUUUUUGUGUUAGUUUUUUUUUAUUUUUAAAAUAAAAAUAUUAAUUUUUAUUAAUUGGCUUAGAACAAAUAGAUUUUAUUAUAGUUUAUUAUUGUACUGUAGAGGGAUUUUCUAAAAUUUGAAUAAGAAAAAUUAAUUUUUUGUACCUUGUGUAUCAGGGUUGAUUAAAUGUUUAGUAAAAAUUUAUUUAUCUCGAAUUUAGAAGAGCUAUUUUUUUAUUUAUUUUAUUGUUGAAUAAAUAUUUUAAAUAUUAAAAUUGUAAUGAAAUGUUAUUCGUUUCUAAAUAUAUCUAGUUUUCUAAGAAAAAAAUUUAAUUUUUUUAUUAAUAAAACCUUUAUAUUCUAAUUUGUGUUUAGUUUUUGUUAAUAAUUUAUAUCUAUAGGGAUUAGCUUUUAGAUAAAUUUUUAAAAGAGAAAUUAUUUUUCUAAUUAAUUAGAAUUAGAAGUUUUUAUUUUUAGAAGGAUGUUAUAUUUUAUUUAGGUAGAAAUUUUAUUUUAUUUUUCUUUAAUUUUUUUAUUAGAAUGUAGUUAACAAUUUUGUUUGACUAGAAAUAAUGAUUAAAUUAGUAUAUUAGUUUGUUUUGUUAUUAAGAUUUGCUAGGUUUUUAAAAGGAAUUCGGCAAAAGAUUCUUCACCUGUUUAUUAAAAACAUGGCCUAUUGAUUAUAAUUUUAGGUCUAACCUGCCCGCUGAGUAUUUAAAUGGCCGCGGUACUUUGACCGUGCAAAGGUAGCAUAAUAAUUAGUUUUUUAAUUGAAAGCUGGAAUGAAUGGUUGAAUGAGGGAAUAACUGUCUCUUAAAAAUUUUUUAGAACUUUAUUUUUAAGUAAGAAAGCUUAAAUUUAAUUAAAAGACGAGAAGACCCUAUAGAGUUUUAUAUUUUUUUAUUUUUGUUGUGUUUAGAAUUAAUUAUAAUAAAAAUAAAAAUUUAUUUGGUUGGGGCGAUCGAAAAAUUUAAUUAACUUUUUUUUAAUUUUUACACUAAUUAGUGAGUUUUUGAUCCAAUAAUUUUGAUUAUAAGAUUAAAUUACCUUAGGGAUAACAGCGUAAUCCUUUUUGAGAGUUCAAAUUGAAAAAGGGGUUUGCGACCUCGAUGUUGGAUUAAAAUUAAUUUUUGGUGCAGAAGCUAAAAUAUUAGGUCUGUUCGACCUUUAAAAUUUUACAUGAUCUGAGUUUAAACCGGCGUGAGCCAGGUUGGUUUCUAUCUUUAAUAAAAGGAAAUAUUUUAGUACGAGAGGACCAAAUAUUUGAUAAAUUAUUUUGUUUGUGGAUUUUGUUGUUGU
rnacentral:rRNA from 1 species